rnacentral:rRNA from 1 species
UGUGUAGGCGGUUCUUUAAGUUUGGUGUGAAAUCUCCCGGCUCAACCGGGAGGGUGCGCCGAAUACUGAGGGACUUCGAGUGCGGGAGAGGAAAGUGGAAUUCCUGGUGUAGCGGUGAAAUGCGUAGAUAUCAGGAGGAACACCGGUGGUGUAGACGGCUUUCUGGACCGUAACUGACACUGAGGCACGAAAAGCGUGGGUAGCAAACA